GGAGCAAUAUGUCCUAUUCGAUUGCAAUAAUGGCAAAUGACGUUAGGAUUAUGCAUUCUUCUGGGAUGAUAAUAGUUGGAGGGUCGAAAUUCAUUUACUCUAUUAUUGACAAUAUAAUUUUGACGCAAUUUUUGAAAAUCUUUUCUCGGCGUUCUAAAUUGCUCAAUAUUUCUUCUAGUGUUUGUUCUAGGAUAUGUAGCAGUCCUAGGAUAAUUAUUUCUCGGUUGAGUAUGUCUAGGUUGCAAUUUUUGAAAGCCAUUUCUAGGUGUUCUAAAUUGCUCGACAUUUCUUCUAGUGCUUAAUCUAGGAUGCAUAUUGAUUCUAGGAUUAUUAUUUCUAGGUUGAAUGUUAACAUUUAUUUUAUUUUGCCUAGGUUGAGCCUUAGGUUGUUGAGGGAUGGUCUCAACUUUUUCUUUAGACUCAUUUUUGAAACCUAUGCCAUGUUUAGUAGAUUUUAAAUUUACAAGAACAUCAUUUAGAUUUUUGUGAGAGGAAUUGAACUUAUUCAAGGUACCCUUAAGUUUUUCUACUUCAUCUUUUAGAGAUUUACAAGAAGUACAACCAUUGUUUGAGCUCUCGGAUUUAUCGGCGCUUCUUUUGCCAUAAAACUUAUUUUCCUCUUUUAGCUUCUCAUUAUCGAGAGUNN
rnacentral:lncRNA from 1 species